rnacentral:rRNA from 1 species
UGGGGAAUAUUGGACAAUGGGCGAAAGCCUGAUCCAGCCAUGCCGCGUGUGUGAAGAAGGUCUUCGGAUUGUAAAGCACUUUAAGUUGGGAGGAAGGGCAGUAAGCGAAUACCUUGCUGUUUUGACGUUACCGACAGAAUAAGCACCGGCUAACUCUGUGCCAGCAGCCGCGGUAAUACAGAGGGUGCAAGCGUUAAUCGGAAUUACUGGGCGUAAAGCGCGCGUAGGUGGUUCGUUAAGUUGAAUGUGAAAGCCCCGGGCUCAACCUGGGAACUGCAUCCAAAAAUGGCGGGCUAGAGUAGGGCAGAGGGUGGUGGAAUGUCCUGUGUAGCGGUGAAAUGCGUAGGUAUAGGAAGGAACACCAGGGGCGAAGGCGACCACCUGGGCUCAAACUGACACUGAGGUGAGAAAGCGUGGGGAGCAAACAGG